GAUGAACGCUAGCUACAGGCUUAACACAUGCAAGUCGAGGGACCGGCGCACGGGUGAGUAACACGUAUCCAACCUGCCCUUUACUCGGGGAUAGCCUUUCGAAAGACAGAUUAAUACCCGAUAUAAAGGAUGGGGAUGCGUUCCAUUAGGUUGUUGGUGAGGUAACGGCUCACCAAGCCUUCGAUGGAUAGGGGUUCGGAGAGGAAGGUCGCCCACAGUGGAACUGAGACACGGACCAAACUGCUACGGGAGGCAGCAGUGAGUAGGAUUGGUCAAUGGGCGCUAGCCUGAACGAGCCAAGUAGCGUGAAGGAUGAAGGCUUAUGUGGCGUAAACUUCUUUUAUAGAAGAAUAUGUAUUAGAUGAAUAAGGAUCGGCUAACUCCGUGCCAGCAGCCGCGGUAAUAC
rnacentral:rRNA from 1 species